CCUACGGGUGGCAGCAGUGGGGAAUAUUGCACAAUGGGGGAAACCCUGAUGCAGCGACGCCGCGUGAGCGAGGAAGUAUUUCGGUAUGUAAAGCUCUAUCAGCAGGGACGAAAAAAGACGGUACCUGACUACGACGCCCCGGCUAACUACGUGCCAGCAGCCGCGGUAAUACGUAGGGAGCAAGCGUUGUCCGGAAUUACUGGGUGUAAAGGGAGCGUAGGCGGGAGGAUAAGUUGAAUGUGAAAUCUAUGGGCUCAACCCAUAGCUGCGUUCAAAACUGUUCUUCUUGAGUGAAGUAGAGGCAGGCGGAAUUCCUAGUGUAGCGGUGAAAUGCGUAGAUAUUAGGAGGAACACCAGUGGCGAAGGCGGCUUACUGGACUGUAACUGACGUUGAGGCUCGAAAGCGUGGGGAGCAAACAGGAUUAGAUACCCGGGUAGUC
rnacentral:rRNA from 1 species